rnacentral:rRNA from 1 species
GUAGUCUCGCACAGAUGCAUAUCAAUAAGCGGAGGAAAAGAAACUAACAAGGAUUCCCCUAGUAACGGCGAGUGAAGCGGGAAGAGCUCAAAUUUGAAAUCUUAAAGGGUUUCCCUUUACGAAUUGUAGUUUAAAGAAGUGUUUUCUGUUGAGGUUUUGGUAAAAGUUCUUUGGAAUAGGACAUCAUAGAGGGCGAGAAUCCCGUAUUUGACCUUUACUUUCAACUUUGUGAUACACUUUCAAAGAGUCGGAUUGUUUGGGAAUGCAGUCCAAAAUGGGUGGUAAAUUUCAUCUAAAGCUAAAUAUUGGCGAGAGACCGAUAGCGAACAAGUACCGUGAGGGAAAGAUGAAAAGAACUUUGAAAAGAGAGUUAAACAGUACGUGAAAUUGUCAAAAGGGAAGCGUUUGACACCAGUGUUGUUUUUCUGAAAAUCAAUUAAAGAACUGUUUAUGCUAAGUUGUUUAGACUUUAUCAGCUAACUGUUUAGUUUUGAGCUUUUCUUUAAUGCACUUUUCAGUUAACAAGUCAACAUCAAUUUCUUUUGCUGUAAAAAAGCUUGAGGAAGGUGGCUUGAGAUUCGUCUUAAGUGUUUAUAGCCUCUUGCCUAUGCAGUCGGAGAGAUUGAGGUCUGCAGCGUAGAUCCUUCGGGGCUAAAUGCAUUUGUGCUAAGUUAUAGCAUUUUAUAGACAACUUGUUGACUAUGAUUUGUCUUGUAGCUUACUCGCUUAUGUUAUUUUACCUACGCUUAGGAUGUUGAUCUGUAGUGCGUGCGC